rnacentral:ncRNA from 1 species
AGUAUUUAGAUAGUAGCACAACUCAGUACGAGAGGAACCGUUGUGUCACGCCACUGGAUUAUUCAAUUAUUUGAUCAAAUAGUGUUGAGAAUCUAACACGUGUUGAAAUAAUGGCUGAAAGCCUCUCAAGCCAGAAUUUCGUCUAGAUGAAUACUUUGUCUUUUUCUUGUUACUUUAGUACAAUUGAAAAUUAUAUACGUUGUAUUUAUUAUCUCGUGUAUUACUCUAUCAAAAGGGUAGUGAAUACUGAGUUAACAAAAUUUAAA